rnacentral:lncRNA from 1 species
GAAGAGGCAAGACCAAUAAAAUAUGUUGUUAGUCGCUACUUGAAGUAUCAAAUGGUAGAUGAAAGGUCCAUGAAGACUCAAUGUAAAGAUUGUUCAUGAGAUCAUCACUGAAGGUAUGCAUUUAGAUGAAUAUUUUUAAAUUGCUUUUAUUAUUGACAAAUUGCCCAUAGUUUAAAAGUUUUAGUUUUUUUUUUUGUUUUUCCAUAAAUAAAAGAAUUUUUGAUUGAGAGUGUGAUUAUGCGCCUUCG